CAGUCGCCGCGGGAAUACGUAGGGGGCAAGCGUUGUCCGGAAUCAUUGGGCGUAAAGCGCGUGUAGGCGGCUCGAUAAGUCUGCUGUGAAAGUCCAGGGCUCAACCCUGGAAUGCCGGUGGAAACUGUCGAGCUCGAGUCCGGAAGAGGCAAGUGGAAUUCCUGGUGUAGCGGUGAAAUGCGCAGAUAUCAGGAGGAACACCAAUGGCGAAGGCAGCUUGCUGGGACGGUACUGACGCUGAGACGCGAAAGCGUGGGGAGCAAACAGGAUUAGAUACCCGUGUAGUCCCUGUCUCUUAUAC
rnacentral:rRNA from 1 species